UACGUAGGGGGCAAGCGUUGUCCGGAUUUAUUGGGCGUAAAGAGCGUGUAGGCGGCCAUACAGGUCCGUUGUGAAAACUCGAGGCUCAACCUCGAGACGUCGAUGGAAACCGUAUGGCUAGAGUCCGGAAGAGGAGAGUGGAAUUCCUGGUGUAGCGGUGAAAUGCGCAGAUAUCAGGAAGAACACCCGUAGCGAAGGCGGCACUCUGGGCCGGUACUGACGCUGAGGAGCGAAAGCGUGGGGAGCAAACAGG
rnacentral:rRNA from 1 species